UACGGAGGAUCCGAGCGUUAUCCGGAUUUAUUGGGUUUAAAGGGUGCGUAGGCUGGUAAUUAAGUCAGUGGUGAAAUACUCCGGCUCAACCUGGGGGCUGCCGUUGAUACUGGUUACCUUGAGUUUAGAUGAUGUGGGCGGAAUGUGUCAUGUAGCGGUGAAAUGCAUAGAGAUGACACAGAACACCGAUAGCGAAGGCAGCUCACAAAGCUAUUACUGACGCUGAUGCACGAAAGCGUGGGGAUCAAACAGGA
rnacentral:rRNA from 1 species